ACAGCCGUAGAAAGACGCUAACAGGCUAACAACAAACAACGCGUUUAUAAACGAUAAAAAACACAUUACUACAUUUAUCUGCUUCUAAACACCGUUUAACUGAAUAUUCAUCAUGUGUGACUGAGAGUAACAGCUGCUGCUUCAUCUGGUUAAUGAUAUGUGAAGCUAACAGCUCCAACAGUUAGCUAAGCUAGCUCCAGGCUAACAGCCGAGCAAAACAGUCCAAUAGAGGGGAAAACUGCUCCUUCCUGGUCCACCCGGACCACCGGAACCAACACAGGACACGGAGCAGAACUCACCGCAGCAAACAUGCGGCGUGAUGCUGACCACCACCCACAUGAAAAUUCAGUGGAAACGAAGCCUCAGCAACGCUUCAUUCAUAUCGAGACCUGGAGUCUUUGGAGCAUCUGUGGACCCCAGAGGACUAAGGAACAUUUCCAGACUUAAACAACUCCUCAAAAGAGGCCACACUCCAAAAAGGCAGAAUAGCCACACCUGCUGCCACCGUGUGGACAGAUCUGGGUCUGCAGCAGGAACACAAGAUGUCUGCUAAAUGAAACAGACACAACAUAUGGUCAUCUCUGGAGAUCAGUGAUCAGGAAAGUGAUCCUUGACACAGAGUUAGACCCAGGUUCCAUUUCUCCAGGACAAAAACACUGUUAGGCUUUUCAGCUUGAAGUUCCCUUAGAAGAAUCGGUUCAAUUUAUUCCUGAAAAGUAGAAUACAACAAGUUUUCUCCAUCUUGGAAAAGGGAAUACACCAUUUUGAAACCUGGCACUUGGACUCAUCAUGACUGAUCUGAUCUGAAGAAGGUCCAAACAUGUUGAUUUGUGUUCCAAAGAGCCAAGGUCCAUCCAACUGCCAGCAGAACCUACAUAGAGACCAGAGGCUCCUGUACAGAAUAUCCUGGCCGUGUUGAAAUGACAGAGCCAGCAGUUAGCAGCCCAAUGGUGCUCCGAUGUUCCAUCAAACAUUCAGAUAUCUCCAUCCACACUGGCCCCUCCAACGUCUGGAAACCUGCGUGAGCAGAUGGCAAAAGAGCUGUGUGAGGGCAGGAUUGACGCAGCUGUAUGGAGGUCAGCAAAGGCAGCAGAUGAUGGAUGUUGGAGAUCCUGAGCCAAGCUACCUAGUUAAUUUAGCUGCCCUGUGGAAAUCAAACAAGAGAAGAAAACAUCUGGAAUUAGAGGACAAAGAUCCCAUUGAAUCUGUGCAUUUAUUAAAUAAAGCACAGCUCACAAUGGAAGCUUUGCAGAUAUUAAACUGGACAAGUUUUUUUCUCACUAUUGGAGUCAAACUCAGCUGCAUGUGAACCAGACUUGUCCAAGAAAUGUUCCCCUACACUGUGCUUUGAUGCAACUGCCUGGUAGUGAGAAAACUGGAGAAGACAAAUGCAGAACCGGCCCAUCUUCCUGUACCGAGCCGUUCUGACCGGCGCCACUGCUCCAGUGUUUCAGUGGUGCACCUGCUGUCAGAGAGGCGUGGCAUCGCCACAUGGUUGACAGCUCUGGUGAGAAAAGAUGAUGUUCUUACUGUUUCAACCUGCAACAUUCAGAGGAUCUGGACUCGGUGAUGGGAGAAGAAUGUCAGAACAUAAACAAGGAACCUUCAUUUGGUUUGAACAUGUGGGUCCAACCUGUUUGUCCUCGUUUGGGUCCAGCUUCUUGUUUCUGUGGUUCUGUUCAGUGGGAAAGAAAAGAGCUGCUGAUGCUUUAUUCUUCAGCUCCUUCAAUAAAACAGUUUAAACAACACAGGAUGUUCUAUUCUUCUAAAGGUAUCUGUAUGUAAAGGUCAGGCAGCUUUACAAUGACCUGUGACCUCUGACCUGCUGGCUGAGGCUCACUUCCUGCCAUCAUCACACACUGGAUAGGCGAGCUGACGUAUGCAGAGCAGAUCUCCUGGACAUGGAGCAGUUGGAGGUCACCAACCAGAUGUGUGGAACUGGGUUGGUAUAUCAAUCGCCACCACUGGGUCUGUUGCUUCAGAACAGGAGGUUUCAGCACCUGAACCCAGUGGGUUCUAUCCCACACCUCCUAUGGUUCAGUGAUGCCACCUUUAUCUCUGAAAGCUCACGUGAACAGAACAUGACGGCCUCCUAUGAACAGCCAGAGGCAGAUUAAGGACGGGGUCAUCGCUGCGCCACGAUGACAGAAACCUGGACUAUUGGGUUCUGAGGAGAGGUGGUUGUAAAAUAAAUGUCCCAACAAUCCACCCACCGGACCGGACCGAGGACACGAAGAAACGACCCGACUGGCAGUGCAUGAACCAUGAGGCUCCUGAACAAUGACUGAGAGGACAGAGGUGCUUUCAGACAGUUUUAUUCUCAACAUGGGACAGGUGUGACCUCUGACCCUGCUCUUGCAGAGGUCAGUUCAGUAGAUCAGCAACGGGACGAGAACAAGGAGGAAUAAAUUAAAACCCACAACAACUCGUCAGGUAAAAAACUCAAUUCAGUCAGAACGUCAAAGAAGAAAAUUAAAAGAAAAUCAAACUCAACAAAAACUAGAAGCUUGAAAUAAAAACCUUUAAAAAGUUG